rnacentral:lncRNA from 12 species
UUGGUGCAGCCACUCUGGAAAACUGUGUGGAGGUUCCUCAAACAGUUAAAAAUAUACCUGCCCUAUGACCCAGCAAUUGCACUGUUGGGGAUUUACCCCAAAGAUACAAAUGCAAUGAAACGCCGGGACACCUGCACCCCGAUGUUUAUAGCAGCAAUGGCCACGAUAGCCAAACUGUGGAAGGAGCCUCGGUGUCCAAUGAAAGAUGAAUGGAUAAAGAAGAUGUGGUUUAUGUAUACAAUGGAAUAUUACUCAGCUAUUAGAUGACUAACUCUUAAUUUUGGCUCAGGUUGAUCUCAAGGUCAUAGGAUUGAGCCCUGUGGUGGGCUUCAUGCUCAGCUCUUAGUGUUUGUGAUCCUCUCCGUUUUCCUCUUCCUCUGUUCCUCCUCUCACUUGUGCCCUUGCUUUCUCUCUCUCUAAAUAAAAUAUUUUUAAACAUAAAAAUAAAAAGCUACCACUCAGGUAUAAUUACCAGUGUUCACCAGUGUUCAUUUCGGGGGUUCCUUGAAGUUACCUGGCCACCGGAUUAUGCUUCUGAUAGAGGCAAUGAUGUAAAAUGAUGUAAAAUGAAAUGCAGAGCCACACAGAGACAGUGGAUAGGAUGAAAUUGUGUGUGUGAGCAUAGAGAGGCAAGGAAUAACCUCUGACUUACAAGAGGUGGGAAUGGUUCUGCUAAAGAGCGAAUAUACCAACCUGAAACAAAAACAACGGAGAGGAACUAUCACUUGCACCUUUUGCGGCUCUGCAGUCUCACCAUGUUGGCACUCACCAGCCACAGAUGCCACACGCUUAGUGCCUCCAGGCAGCUCUGCCUUCAGCAUAGCAUCUCCCAUGGGGACAGAUGAUUUAUAUUUUACAGUAGAUCCUGUGAAGACCGUGGGGAUGCCUGCUCCAGAUCAAUCAGAUGCAUAAAGUCAGAGUCCUUGCAAUAACCAAAACGGGGUCUGAUGUGUACUUUUUCCGCAGCCACAUACCGUUUUUCCGGGAUUGCCAUUCCUCCACCUGGACAAGAAGAAGAAAGAAGGAAGCUAGCCUCGGUCCCGUUAGAUUUCAUCCCGAAAACAUGGAUGAAACCGGAGGGCAGGAAGGAUCCAGUCCCAUCAGGAGCCGUGUUGUCAGGAAGAGCUCUCCCAGGUGGAGGAAGAAUGGGGUGGUGGACGCAGGAGGAGACAGGAAGAAGCCAAGGAAAGCCUCCUCCUCCUCCUCCAAAGCUUGGCAGAGCGGGAGAAACGAAAAUUGGGAGAGACUGGCUGGAAAGGUCCACGGUCUGGGUGUCCCUCUGGGCCACUGAAGGAGCCAGAGGGGCCUUGAGCCUGGUGUCUGGGAGAGGCUGCUGCAGGCCACAUUCACUGGAAGGAGGAGGCCUGCUUAUGAUGUUUUCACUGCAAGGUCCUCUUAAUGUUUUGCCUGAGAACAUUGUGGAACAGUGAGAAGAGAAAUGAAUUAAGAGACACAAGAUCAGCCUCAGGUUGGGAGGCGUGGCACAAUGUGGACUCCAGAGAAAUCAGACCAGGCUCUACUUUUGGUUUGGUUACUUCAUUCGCUAUCUGAACCUGAGAAUAUUUCAAGUUCUUUCUCUGUUAAGUGGGUUGGAUAAGCCCCAGCCUGCGGGACUGUUGGAACUGUCUGUAAUGUAUGUAAAGUACCUAGUGCAGUGAUUGGCAAACAUUGGGUCUCUUAUGAAUGACAAUUAUUACUCUAAUAAUUUUGGUCGCAGAUGAUACCACCCACACCUUUGUAAUAUUUUUGUUUGUUUGCUUUGAUCCAGCAUAUGUCGGAGAAUAUGCAUUGCAGGACAGAGAACACCAAAAUAGCCAAUAUGUUGCCUGGCAAGCAAAUUGUCCCUGUUUGAGUGGGUGUUGCUUAAUUUCAGUAUGCGGGAGUCUUCCCCAGUUAGAGGCAACUCAGCUGAGAAUUUGCCUAAGUGUACUCCGUAAAACCUAAUUACAAUGCCAUUUUAAUGGAGUGGGCUCUGGCCCUCCUCAUGCAAGGCAGAGUGUGAAUUUCGUGGCUUCUUGACCAUCCUUCAAGGGAGUAUCACACUGUUUCUUUGAAGUUUCUUAGAUAUGAUGUACAUGAAAUGCCUCGUUUGUGCACUGGGUUUGCCUGCCCUGGGACAGGAGCACAGGGCCCUGUCCAUUCCUGCUUUAGGUAGAGAGGUCUCUCUGGUUUGCCCACAUUCCCAGUGUAGCUGUGAAGAGCAGUUCUCCAUUCCGGGCUUCAGCCUGUCCAUUCCCAUACACACAAUCUGCUAUCUGCCCUUUCCUUAUGAUAUGCUUAGCCUCACUUAGCCCAACCUUCUGCCUUGGAAGACUUGCAGACUCCCAGCCCCAAACCACAUGGCCUCAAGGAAUUUAUACCCAACUGCUCUCAUCUGGAACUUUCUCCUCUUCCUCAUCCCUUCUUUUUGCUGACCUGUAGGUCUUCCAGAGGGUAUCUCACCAUCCUCUUAUGAUAGCUGCUCCUAGACUUGGUAAUUCUGUGGGCAGUGGCUCAGUCUUCUUUUUUUACCAUUUCCCUCAUACUACCAUGGUUCUUCCAAAGAGCAGAUGCUAAAUUAAUGCUUGAGAAUUAGACGGUAAACAGGAUUUCUAAUGUAUUAUUUAAUUUCUCCCACAUUCCUGAAUAAGCAGAGUAAAUCCAGAUAUAUAUAUACAUAUGUAUCUACAUAUAUCUCUUUUAUAUAGAUAUAUAUAGGCAGAUAUAUAUGAUAAUAUUAAAGACUGAAAGAAUAAGCCAGGCCAAGAAUUUAACACCUUUUACUGUCCUAUUUCUCUUUUUUGUGGUUCCCAAGUAAUUUUCACGUGGAGUUAUUUCACAUUUUCAUGACAAUCCCUAUGCCAAUAACAUGCUAUCUUGUUCUGGUUAAUAGAAAAGGUCAAAAAAAAUUGUACUCCUUGUACAACUUGGAAAAGCUACUCCUGAGAUACUUCACAUCAGCUUAAGAUGCUCACAAUCCUGACUUCAGAGUCUAAAGCAAGCAUGAGCCCCAUCUGGCCCCCCUGUCCAUAUUCUCUCCAGACUGGUAGAAGGGUGAGGUCCUAUGGCACUGCACUGCUCUAAGUUUGGUGGCCCCCUUAGAUCUCCUGCAGUCAGGAUCUGGGCUGUUUCCUGAGCCCUCACUGUUAAGAGGUUGAUGGUUUCCAUCUUCAGGGUCCUCACCUUGACCUAGAAAUUCUCCCUCUGCUGACUUGAGGUCACCCCCUUUGAUGAGGUCCCUCACCUCCAUGAGAUGCCAUGGAAAGAAGGAGGAUUCAUCAUGUUACCACAUUUGCACCUCUCAAGAGAGACAACAUGAGACAAGGCUGUAAGCAGCCUCAUUCUUUAUAAGGAAAGGUAUCCUUAUUGUUACUCAGUGUUAGCACUUUGACUCUCCACUCCCACCCCCACCCCCCAGCCCCCACCUUUAGUCCCAGAAUUUCAUGUUCCUGAGACCAUCCCUUGCUUGCCAGCCUGAUGACCUUGAGAAAUCUAGAAGUCAUUUAUCAGUAAAGGGACUCUCUCUCGUAAGUCUUGUCUUGUAGGAAUGUUGGAAUGCACAUUGUAUUGUAAUGCGCUUGGCAUACUUAUUGGGAAAUAUUGGAUCUUUAAUCAUUGAUAGUUAUCAUAUGAUUAUUUUGAAACCCCAAAUUAUCAACCUCCCAUUAAUUUUUUUUCUUAAUUGAGUAGAUAUUAGAGAAUAUACGGUUGUUCUUCAAUAAAUAGUCUUUAAUAAGCUACA